GAAAAUGUAAAUAUGAAGCUGAUGCAUUUUGUUAUACAUAUACAUAUGGGGACAAUUUAUUAAAGUUCGAGAUAUAAAAUAUAAAUUAAACAUAUCUCUCGUCCUCUGUGAAGCCUACGAAUCAUACUUUGGCUAUCCUGUUCGGAAUCAACGACAUGGGCUCCACAUGUUGCUUGUAGCUACUGUAAAAGAUGUUUGGAAGGUUGGUAAUAUUAAUAGUAAAAAUUAAUAAAAAUGAUAAAAAUGUUUAUUUGAAUAGUUUCAUACUUAAAUAAAAAUUAGAAUCAUA